AAGCUUACCUUGCACAGGGGUUACCGUGAUCAACAAGCCGUUUCCCCCAGAGUGAGGCUCUUCCAUUGCACCUUGGGAAGGGUUGAGCCCUACGAUAAUCUCUCAUGUAGAUAAUCCGUGUGCACUAUUUUUGGCAGUCGGUAGAUCCGUUCGCACUCAUCUCGA